UACGUAAGGGGCAAGCGUUGUUCGGAAUUAUUGGGCGUAAAGGGCGUGUAGGCGGUUUUGUAAGCCCGAUGUGAAAUACCACAGCUCAACUGUGGACCCGCGUCGGGAACUGUAAGACUAGAGUUCAGGAAGGGAAGCUGGAAUUCCUGGUGUAGGGGUGAAAUCUGUAGAUAUCAGGAAGAACACCGAUGGCGAAGGCAAGCUUCUAGACAUGGACUGACGCUGAGGCGCGAAAGCGUGGGGAGCGAACAGGAUUAGAUACCCCCGUA
rnacentral:rRNA from 1 species